GGUUCCCUCAGAACCUGGUCAGAGUUGGGACUCUCCGUCUUAAGGGGCGCGAGAAGCACCAACGACCCGUCCUUUUCGAUUUAUCGGUUGGGCGGAGUCUGAGCGCACACGUUGGUACCCGAAAGAUGGUGAACUAUGCCUGGGCAGGACGAAGCCAGAGGAAACUCUGGUGGAGGUCCGCAGCAGUUCUGACGUGCAAAUCGAUUGUCAGACCUGGGUAUAGGGGCGAAAGACUAAUCGAACCAUCUAGUAGCUGGUUCCCUCCGAAGUUUCCCUCAGGAUAGCUGGCACUCGGAGAUUUCAGUCUCAUCCGGUAAAGCGAAUGAUUAGAGGCCUUGGGGCCGAAACGACCUCAACCUAUUCUCAAACUUUAAAUGGGUGAGAAGUUCGGCUUGCGUAAAAGAAGCCCGGACGCGU
rnacentral:rRNA from 1 species